GACGAACGCUGGCGGCGUGCUUAACACAUGCAAGUCGAACGGAAAGGCCCUGCUUUUGUGGGGUGCUCGAGUGGCGAACGGGUGAGUAACCCGUGAGUAACCUGCCCUUGACUUUGGGAUAACUUCAGGAAACUGGGGCUAAUACCGGAUAGGAGCUCCUGCUGCAUGGUGGGGGUUGGAAAGUUUCGGCGGUUGGGGAUGGACUCGCGGCUUAUCAGCUUGUUGGUGGGGUAGUGGCUUACCAAGGCUUUGACGGGUAGCCGGCCUGAGAGGGUGACCGGCGACAUUGGGACUGAGAUACGGCCCAGACUACUAUGGGAGGCAGCGGUGGGGAAUAUUGCACAAUGGGAGGAAGCCUGAUGCGGCAACGCCGCGUGCGGGAUGACGGCCUUCGGGUUGUAAACCGAUUUCGCCUGUGACGAAGCGUGAGUGACGGUAAUGGGUAAAGAAGCACCGGCUAACUACGUG
rnacentral:rRNA from 1 species